AGGACGAACGCUGGCGGCGUGCUUAACACAUGCAAGUCGAGCGGUAAGGCCUUUCGGGGUACACGAGCGGCGAACGGGUGAGUAACACGUGGGUGAUCUGCCCUGCACUCUGGGAUAAGCCUGGGAAACUGGGUCUAAUACCGGAUAUGACCUGCUCUCGCA
rnacentral:rRNA from 1 species